rnacentral:tRNA from 1 species
GGGGAUGUAGUUCUGUGGUUGAGUGCUUGCCUAACAUGUAUGAGGCCAUGGGUUCAAUCCCCUUCACUGCCA